rnacentral:rRNA from 1 species
GAUGAACGCUGGCGGCGUGCCUAAUACAUGCAAGUAGAACGCUGAAGGAAGGAGCUUGCUCUUUCCGGAUGAGUUGCGAACGGGUGAGUAACGCGUAGGUAACCUGCCUGGUAGCGGGGGAUAACUAUUGGAAACGAUAGCUAAUACCGCAUAACAGUAGAUAUUGCAUGAUAUCUGCUUGAAAGGUGCAAUUGCACCACUACCAGAUGGACCUGCGUUGUAUUAGCUAGUUGGUGAGGUAACGGCUCACCAAGGCGACGAUACAUAGCCGACCUGAGAGGGUGAUCGGCCACACUGGGACUGAGACACGGCCCAGACUCCUACGGGAGGCAGCAGUAGGGAAUCUUCGGCAAUGGACGGAAGUCUGACCGAGCAACGCCGCGUGAGUGAAGAAGGUUUUCGGAUCGUAAAGCUCUGUUGUAAGAGAAGAACGAGUGUGAGAGUGGAAAGUUCACACUG